UAUUGGGGCAAGGAGAACUUACCCAUAUGCAAAUAACAAAUUAAUAUUUGACUCGACAUCAACCAACCAUGUUACACAAUCAUGCAUGUUAUUGUUAGAGGUAUAUUAACCAGUAAUUGGAGAAAAUGCAAUCAACAGGUCAGGCACCAAUUACUGUGGGAAGUUGGUUUUAUGUUUUUAGGGAGAGAAAUAGUAUACGUUGUUGAGUGCUGGAGAUGGCUUGAUCGCCAGAUAUAACAAAAGAGACUUACAAAAGUGGAAUAAAUAAAAGAAGUUAACUCCUGUGAGAGAGAGAGAGAGAGAGAGAGAGAGAGAGAGAGGUAAUGAGAAUGAGUGAGAGGGAAUGAGAAUGAGAAAAGGAAUGAGAAUGAGAGAAUUAAAAUGGAACAUAAUGAGAAUGAGAGAGAGAGGAUGAGAUUGAGAAUGGGAGAAUUAAAAUGGGACAGAUAAUGAAAAUGAGAGUGAGAGAGAGUGGUUGAAGGCGAUUUGGUUCUACCAAGAAUUGCAUUUAUUUCACAUGUUCUGGGAAAUAACUUUGUGCUCAUUGCAUUUCUGAUUGCACCCAAAGACCUCUACAUUCCAGUAAUUUGAUCUGUUUGUGUGUAAAAAACAUGGAAAAUUAAUUACAGAUGCAUCCUUGAAAUUACUACUAUAGGCAAUCAUUCGCAUUCUUUUGGGUCACUAAUUUUCUAGCCCAGUUUUCUCGACUCUUACGUAAUGUUUCGCCACAAAAAUCAUUGUAUCUUACCGGUGAAAUGUUAUGCUGCCAUAUCCCUGCACAUCCGUAUCCUCAAAAUUACCCCGCCACUACAUAUGCCAACACAUAUACAUGGCCCCCUUUGCGACCUAAGUUCCGGCUACAACAAAUAAAUCAUAGGAAGCCUUAAUAAUGGUGAUUAUCAAAAUGCUACAUAAUUCAUACAAAAUAAACUUCGUUGUCAUUCAGAGUAAAAUCAGUCAUAAAAAGCAAUGUGGAAACUUCCUGUGGGAGUGGCAGAGCUGCCAGAGCUCACUUGCGUCUUCCCGCCCGCCCCAUCCCGCCUCCCUCAGUUGAGUGUGGGCGGCCGGGGAUGUCGGAGAAUAAUAAUGUGUCGGAGAAUGAUGCCACACUCGCCCUUACCAAGCUUCGCCUCUUGUGCGCCAAAAAGCUCCAGAGGGCAAGAGAGGCUGGCAUCACCCUAGAGGAAAUCAGGGGUACAUAUAUGGUGGUGAAAAAGGAACUGCAUCAUAGUGACAAUAAAAAUAAAUGUAAAUACGCGGGUGCCACUGGUAGAGCCAUGAGUGCCAAGCAGUGGGGUUUAGUGGGGGCUCUAGUGGCUCUGAUAGUAGGUGUUGCAGUAUUCUAUUAUGGUGCCUUUAUAUAUGGUAAGUUGGUUACCUCUAAAUGCUUCAUUCGAAAUAAUUACAUCAUAAUGGAAGCUACUCGGCCACACACAAAAUGUGAGCGCGUGUGCAGCGCUGUAGGUGGUGCCAUGGAACUAAGUGCCAAUAUAACGCAAGAGGAGUUCGGUCGGUGGGCGUAUCUUUCGCAACCCCUUGUGGUGCGGGGAGGCGCCGCCCACUGGCCAGCCCUUGACAAGCUAACGGUGGGCUUCCUACAGAGUUUGUACAACAGUAUCGAGGGCUCCUAUGAAGCUGUCGCGGAAGACUGUCAGUUUUUGCCCUUCCGCAGUGAAUUUCUGGACCUUAGGUCAGCCCUCUCCAUGCAUCCUGCCCGCGCCGCUGCACGUCGCGGCACCAAACACUGGUAUUUUGGAUGGAGUAACUGUUCCCCGGGGGUAGCUACUGUGUUACGGCAGCUGGCCCCUCGCCCGACUUUCCUGCCUGCGCUUGCUGAAUCGUCAGCGCUGGAUUGGAUAUUCAUGGGGUGUCCCGGACCUGGAGCUGCUUGGCACCUAGACUACGUGCAGCGGCCAUCCUGGCAGGCCCAGAUAAGGGGUACAAAGACGUGGCACUUGCGGCCUGUGCCGGAAUGCCAGUCCAUUUGUCAGCCCUUCAAUGUCACAGUGCACAGAGGGGACAUUAAAAGCGUACUCUGUGGUGAUGGAGUAUAGAGGAAGGAGUAGGAAUGUCUGGGUUAUAGAAGUACUGCAUGUGUUUAAAGGACGUAAUGUUUUCGUGGACACUAACCAGUGGUACCACACAACACACAUCCACGAGGGAAGCCUCUCCAUCACUCUGGGUUCUGAGUAUGACUAAGUAAUCACCGACUGAACAUGUUUCAUUUAUGCCACGAAAUAAAGCUGGUAUAAAACUAU